UUUAUUGUACAUAUCAUAUAUAUAUAUAUAUAUAUAUAUAUAUGAGUUGGACUGGGCUACUAUUAGUAGCAAAAUUCCAUUGUUGCUACCAGUUUUUUAGCCUUUGGAUCAAUUCUUUUCAUUAUUUCUAACCAUUGGAUUAAAUACUAUAACCCAGUGGGGACCACUCAACCCUAGGGGGACCACUCAACUCUAACCGACUAAUAUCAUCCUGACUCUACAAUUUUUCAUCAAAGGGUUAAAAAAAUUUGAUAGCAAAAAGAGCGCUUUACUAUUAAUAGUAUCCCAACCUAAUUCUAUAUAUAAGGUGCAGGAAGUGUCCAAUUUGAGUCUAAUCUUAGGGGUCCAGAAUUUCCAGGGUGUGGAAAAAAUAUUGCAUUGUGAAAAAAAAAUAAUAAUAAAUUAAUUAAAGAAUAGUGAUCCAUGGUGGACCAGGUCCAAUGAAUAAUUUUGAAGUAGACUCGGAAAAAGUACAGUAAUAUGAUAGGAAAGGCACCUGGGAAGGCACCCUACCUAGAUGGGGAUUAGAGGAUUUUACAACAUCACACUUAUAUCACGUCAUCAAUAACAAAUUAAUCAUAUUUCUUCUUUUCAAACAAAAGUAUAAUAAAAAUAUUUUUUUAUAGUUAUGAUGAAAUAUAUAUCUCUAAAAAAAAAUAUUUGAUUGAUUUAUUACGCCACGUCACUAAUAUACCCAGCGCAUUCUAUAAUUUUUUUGGGAACUGAGGGGGAGAGACAAGGAUUGUGAUG
rnacentral:lncRNA from 1 species